ensembl:lncRNA
CUGAAUGUUUUUAUUAAUGCACUGAUUGGUUAAUAGCUGAGAGCAGACAAAGUGUCAAAGAACCACAGGAAAUGGUGAACAUAAAUGUAAAGAAAAAAAGUUGCUUGUCAGAUUUUCCUAACAAGUAACCAUAUCUUUUUUUUUAAAUUAGCUGAAAAAACCACAACCCGCAUCCAGGAUUUUUUUCACGCAACUUAAAAAAAAAAAGAAGCCCAGAGUUGCGUAUAAUAAGGGGACUUGGCAACAGUGAAGAUGAGACAUGAGAGCAGUGAAGCAGCUCAACAUCCGACACGACAGACUUUGGAGAAAACCUCAUACUUUCAUGUGCCUUGAUAUCAAACCCAUUACAGUCUUGGGUUCAUUAAAAUGCUGUCAGAGUUGUCUGUGAGUUCUCUUAUAAAACAGCGAUAUUUUUCAGUUUAAACUUAUAAAAUCCAAUUAACCCGUUGCUUCUUUAAGUACUAAUUAAAUCACUACCACUACUAUAAUUGUGGAAUUGACAUCACAUCCUCCUGAAGUUAAAAACAAAUAUAUCAUUAACUACAGAGGGUGCCUUCCAGCAUCUCAGUGGAAAGCUGUUUAGCUCGUGUACUUAUGAGAAUAUGAGGGCGUGUCUUCAUGUGACAGGAGCAGUUUUUGUGAAACAUGAGCACACGGAGCUCAUAUGACCUUUGAUCUUCACCGACGUGUGAAGAAUUAAGAGCUCAAUCACAGAAUUCAGUUUCAUAACUGCUUAAUGUUUGUAGCACGUACAUUUUCUCAGUUUACUGGCCAUUAGCAGGUGUGAGUUUUGUGUCUGUCUACAAGAUUCAAAGAGGAAACAGGAUUGUUUUGUUUUUUUCCUUUGUUGAGCUUCUCGACACACGGAAACAAGAUGUUCAGGAGUUCGGGACAUUCUCUAAUCUAUCCAAAAUAUCCAAGUUACUGACAAACCAGUGAUAAUAAGAGUGAAGGGAAAGCAUUCUGAAGGCCGACAGACAUCAGGAGCCUGAGCACGGCCGUGAUGAAGCUGGAUCUGAGCUGCAGUGUUUGGGUUCUGGCCGUUGGUUUGCUGCCGUUGGUCCGAAUCACUGCCGGAUCCAUUUUGGGCGCAGCUGUUAACAUUGAGCUGUUUGACCAGGACAGAUCGCAGCCGGUCAGGGCUCAUUACAGCGUGGUGUCCAAUUUGCCCUGUCCAGCUCUGAAUGAGCUGUGUAACGGAGGAGACUGCGUGGAUCAGCUCAGCUCCUCUCCUCUGACAGGGGCUUUACCGUCACCCGGCUGGUGUCUUCAUCAGUGGCAGAAGAACAUCCCUGAACACCACACAUCUGCUCUUCAGCUCAGAUCUGACAGAGCCGUGACACUGGAUUCACGAGCAGAUCUGUCUGUCAGAGCCGACACUAACCGUGUUAACCAGCCUCCAUUUGUGGCUCUUCCUCCUCCAGUCAGGUUACAAGCUGCUUGUCCUCAAGAAAUUCCGGUGAAUGUGAUGGAUUUGGAUGGAGAUGAGAUUCGCUGCCGUUAUAAGAAGACUGAACUUGGUGAAUUUCUGCAGCUUAAUGAAGAGACAUGUACACUGCUGUAUGAAGGUAGAGCUGGUUUGGGUCAGUAUUCAGUUCUGAUCAUGGUGGAGGAUUUUCCUUCAUCUGACAGAGAGGCCGAGCCGUUCUCCACUGUACCUCUGCAUCUCCUAAUAACAGUUGAAAGCGGAGCUGGCUGCUCAGUUGUGCCGGAGUUCACAGGCGUCAGUCCAGCAGGAGGCGCUGUAAUCCACGUACUGCCCUUUGAGGAGGUCCAUGUCAACAUUACAGUGGACUCAAGAGUACAGAGUGUGUCUGAAAUUGCUGUGACUGGUCCGCCGGGCCUCUUCAUAUCAUCAAUGGAAAUUGGCCAGAGCUUCUACAGCUCCGUCACGCUGUCCUGGGUCCGAGGUCCGAAUCAGUUCACCCAUCUGCUGUCUGUUUGUUUCGCUGCUAAUACUCCAAGCCUGCAGUCUAACAUCAGGUGCAUAUGGCUUCAGCAAACACAAACAGACCCUUUGCCGACUGGAACAGAGUUGAAAUGUAAGGAGCGCGAGCUUCAGAUGUCUCUAGUGCUGCCCAUUUCCUUCCUGGAGAACCUGCAUUUCUCUGCUCUCCAGCUGAAUGAUCCGACCUGUCCAGUGUUUUAUAACUCGACCCAUGUCACCGCCACCUUCUCUCUGACGGGCUGCGGAACCAAGAGGAUGCAUUUAGGAUCAGAAUUGCUGUACACCAACACUUUACGCAGCAUCAAUCCUAACUCCACUAUAAGCCGCGUGCCCACUCUCAUCCUGCCGCUUGCCUGCCGGAUUCCUGGUCAACAAGCUAAAGGUCCGGCUUUUAAAAUCUCCAUUCCUGAAGAAGUGAAGACGUUUGGUGCCGUGUCCUUCUGGCUGGAGUUCCAUCUUCCCGGAAAGGGUCCUAUGGCCAGCAAGACUCGUCUAUCAGAUUUGCGCAGUUCACCGCCAGUGCGUGCGGCUCGAGAGCUACGCGCUGCAGACCGGGUGGACAUGCUGGACCUGCAUGUGUUCUCCAACUGCUCUUUGGCUCGUGCUGAGCUCAUGGUGGGCCGCUGUGUGGAGUCAGAAACAGAAGACUUUACAAGCACAAGGCCUCUGCUGAACCAGGGCUGUGUAUCUGGAAAUGGAACCUUGGAGAUCCUGACAUCAACUUCAACAGUUCGGAUUUUCCGCUUAUAUCUCGGUUCUCUGGGAAUAAAGGGAGACACGAUGUAUGUUGAGUGUGUAGUGCACCUCUGUAUUACCACAAAACAAACUGACAGAUGUUCUGAUCCCUGUACGGGAACGCCGGACCCGACCAUAGUAGACAGCAUUCUGACCCGCAGCUACACUGUGCGAUCAGGGCCCGUUUCCCUCAUUAAAGUCACAGAAACCAGCACUACAGUGGCUAAACCGCAAUCUGCUACUCCAGUCGCUCAGCCUUCCACCAGCCAGGCCACAACAGCUUCUGCCUCUCGCCCUCUGGAUACAGGUGCAUUCUGGAUAGUUGCUGUGUCAUUGCUUGUGCCCAUGCGUCUCCCUUGAGCUGUUAUGACACAUUAGAGAACUUUGUAGAGCAGUUUAUUUGUGACUAAUCAAAAUGAUCUUUUCUUCUUAACCACCAUUAUGAUGUUUCUUUAUAUAUCCUUGAAUCACGUAAAAAGCACAUAUUGUAGGAAGACAUACUUCAUGCCUUUACAGUUAUUAACAAGUUUUAGGUAGCAUCAAGAAACAUCUACUCCUGCUCUUCUAAUCUUUUAUUUUUAAGCAACUAUAAUAAAUUGAUAAAAUUCAUAAUAAUAGGCUUUUUUCCCGUUUUUUUUUUUUUUUUUUACAAGAAUAAAUGAAAUAAAUCACAGUGUAAAGUAAAAAGUGAAACUUCUGGCAUUUAUUCACCCUCAUGUUUUCCAAACCAGUAUGAAGGAAUAAAGACUGAUGUUUAUCAUAAUGUGAACGCUUCUCUUUUUCCUUAUGAUAUCAUGAAAGCGGACAGUAAGUAACCAGGGUC